rnacentral:lncRNA from 1 species
UUUGAGCGUCUCUUAACUUUGUCCUAAAUUCAGUUUCCUCUGGUGCUUCAUCAUGAUCAUUUGCCUGUACCCCAUUGUCAUUCGUCUGAUUUGGACCACCUUCUUCCAUAGAGAAUGUUGUCUUAAACAAAUCAAAUGCCUCUGUUUCAUAUUAAAGACCACUGUCUUCUUCAGAAUCUUUUUUUCACCAUGAAUACUCCAACAAGAACUCUUAUACUUCUUAUCCAUACCCCUAAUCACCAGAUGCUCCAUUAUUUUAUCUACUAACUGAUGGCUUAGAUUGCGGCAGUAUCUACAAGGGCAUAACAUUUCAUACAGAUUUUCCAAUCUUCUUGCUGACCAAUUCACGAAAUUAGUUUCUCCUUCUGAGUACUCGUGACUAUUCCUACAAAAAUCAGACAAAAGAAGUUAGCUCUCUUUUAAUCGGUGAAUACAAGUGAGCU